rnacentral:lncRNA from 1 species
ACCCUCAUCCAGUAUGACCUCACCUUACCCAGUUUCUUUGCAAAGACUCUUUCCAAAUAAGGUCACAUUCUGAAGUUCUGGGGACACAUGAAUUUGGGGGGAAUGCUACUCCACCAUCUAGAAGAGAUGCCUUGCCUAUUAUGGCAGAUGACAUUCUAGCAGAUGACAGCAUUUGGUAUUUUUAGGAUUGUCACUUAUCAGAGGUCUGGAUAGAUAUUUCUCAAGGAAGAUGGGAGCAAGCCUGGCUAUUUGGGGAACAGAAGACUGGCAGCUGCAGCUCUAAUUUGACCCCUAGCCAGGUAAUUUCCAUAUGCCAUGGGUGCAGCUCUAAAAAGAAGAAAGGCAAGGAAUACAAGAAACCUCUAGAAGCUGGGAAGGAGGCAAGGAAUCAAGAACCUCCCUUGAGCCUCCAGGAAUGGAUGUGGCCCUGUUGCAGAGUGUCAGAGGGGAAUGUCCUUUUGGGUGCAGCGCUGGCGGACAGCCCUGUACUUGGGUGUGAUCAACAGUGACUGGGUCUACCAGGGCCUGCCUGGUGGCCUGGAAGGGAUGGCUUGGGUAACCAGGUGUUCCGAGGUGCGUGUGGUAAAGAUCUUAUGUAAAUACCAAAUGACCAUCACCUCUCCCUCUGACAGCCACACCUUUGGUUCUGGAAGUCUGGGCAGGAUGGCGUCACGGUGUGUUCAGCGCUGGGAGGGACCCCUCCCACUCCUGCCUUGCUGCUUUAAGUUUUCAUUGCGGCUCUGUUGGAGUUCUGGGUUUCUUUAAGCAUCUCAGGAGCACUUGGCAGGUGCACUGUAACCGCAGGUGAUGAGCCCAUCCGGCCAGCAUGCUGGCUGUGCCUGGGCUCGGGGCCGGAACCUUCUCAAUCGGUCCUGGACACGUGUCCCAGAUGCUGCUGACAGCCUCCCCCCCCAAGCUGCUUGUGCAGGGCAAGUGGCCAGUCUCCCCCCUCUUCUUUCCUGCCCUGACCCACCGGCGUGGGAUGUCAGGCAGCAGUGGGGGCUGGGUGGAGGGGACACUGACCCUGGCUGUCCCACUCUUGGAAUGCAGGCAACUGCAUUGCCCCCAAGGGGCCGCUUUAGAAGAAGGGGUCUUGUGUGUGUGAGGGGUUUUGCACUAAUUGUGUGUGCGUGCGCACGCAUGUGUGUAAGGGUUGGAUUCACUGUAUAGGAUGAUUUUGAACAACUCUUUAAAGCUGAGCCAGGAUAGCUCCCCUGGGCCUGAUAGGCACCGGGAGUGUGGGCUGUUGGCCUGAAAGGUGAGGCUCUCCGGGGGCUGGCAUGGGGGGUUUGCCCAGGGCCUGGUCCAGCUGGCCUCACAUGCUCGCCUCAGCCCUGCUCCAGAGCUGCCUGCGGCCUCCCGGGGCUCAGUCACCCAGAAUGCGAGGAAUGGCUGGGGAUGCUGCCUGGGCUUGUGUUUGGCCUCUGCCAAGGUCAAGUUGUCAGGGAGGACGAAGCCGGAGAAGCUCCCUCGCUGGGAGGGAGGAGGGGGGCCGAGACCGGCGUCUGGCAGUUCUUUUACAUGCAAACUCGACCCGUCCGCUCCUCUGCCUGGACCGCCCCAUCCCCUCCUCCCCCAGUUAGAGGGGUGGGGGGUGAGGAAUCUCGUGGGGGGCAUUAUCUCUGAUCUCGGCGUGGACAUCCUCGCCGGGUUGGCUGGCGAGCGGACACCUGGCUGGAAUAACAAUGAGCGGAGCUGGAGGACGCUCCGCAGGGAGGGCUCUGCUGAGCCAGCACUUGCUCCCUGCAUUUCCAUCCCUUCCUCCUCUGACAAAGGCCGGGCCUUUGGGAUGGUAAUGCUCUCUGGGCCGGCCUUGGCUCCGGGUGAAGAAUGAACUUGGAGGCCUGCCCAAGAGGCCGUACAGGCUCCUUUUUUCAUGCAGAUGUGCUGGGGAGCUUGGGGCACGUGCAGAGGGUGGAGCCGGGGCCUGGGAAUCCUGGGACCAGAAACAGAGCUGGUCUCGGCCGUCACCCCUUCGGGGGCAUCUCUUUGCAUGUGAAUGUGCCAGAGGUACUUGGUCACCCACCCUCCGCCCCCUGAUAAAAUUACCCCAUGAACCUAAACUAUGCCUUUGUAGUUAAGGUUAUAAACUAUAGUGGGAAGUCCAACUGGAAACCAUGCUGAAAGGAAAAUAGAAAAAAGCAACAACAGCAGUUCCUGUUGUGGCUCAGCGGUUACUGAACCUGACUAGCAGCCAUGAGGAUGUGGGUUCGAUCCUUGGUCUUGCUCAGCAGGUUAAGGAUCUGGCGUUGCCCUGAGCUGCGGCGUAGGUCAGUGGCUACAGCUCUGAUUGGACCCCUAGCCUGGGAACCUCCAUGUGCCGUAUGUGCCACCCUAAAAGACAAAAAGACAAAAGGGAAAAAAAAAAAAA